CACGGAGUUAGCCGGUGCUUAUUCAUCUGGUACCGUCAGUUGAACUAGAAAGUCCCUUUUUCGUCCCAAAUAAAAGAAGUUUACAACCCAGAGGGCCUUCAUCCUCCACGCGGCAUGGCUGGUUCAGACUUGCGUCCAUUGACCAAUAUUCCUUACUGCUGCCUCCCGUAGGAGUCGGGCCCGUGUCUCAGUGCCCGUGUGACUGGUCGUGCUCUCACACCAGUUACUGAUCGUAGGCUUGGUGGGCCGUUACCCCGCCAACUACCUAAUCAGCCGCACAGCCAUCUUCAAGUGAUAAAUCUUUAAGACAAAAGAGAUGCCUCUUCUGCAUACUAUGGGGUAUUAAUCCGGCUUUCGCCGGGCUAUGCCCCGCUCGAAGGAAGGUUCUGUACGUGUUCCGCACCCGUUUGCCGGUCGCCGCCCAUGUAUUGCUACACUGCGCUGCCCCUCGACUUGCAUGUAUUAAGCCUGCCGCUAGCGUUCAUCCUGAGCCAGGAUCAAAC
rnacentral:rRNA from 1 species